UACGGAGGGAGCUAGCGUUGUUCGGAAUUACUGGGCGUAAAGCGCACGUAGGCGGCUAUUCAAGUCAGAGGUGAAAGCCCGGGGCUCAACCCCGGAACUGCCUUUGAAACUAGAUAGCUAGAAUCUUGGAGAGGUCAGUGGAAUUCCGAGUGUAGAGGUGAAAUUCGUAGAUAUUCGGAAGAACACCAGUGGCGAAGGCGACUGACUGGACAAGUAUUGACGCUGAGGUGCGAAAGCGUGGGGAGCAACAGGG
rnacentral:rRNA from 1 species